rnacentral:rRNA from 1 species
UCUUCGGAGGNGCGCACACAGGUGCUGCAUGGCUGUCGUCAGCUCGUGUCGUGAGAUGUUGGGUUAAGUCCCGCAACGAGNGCAACCCACGUCCUUAGUUGCCAUCAUUCAGUUGGGCACUNUAAGGAGACUGCCGGUGAUAANCCGCGAGGAAGGUGUGAAUNACGUCAAGUCCUCAUGGCCCUNACGGGAUGGGNUACACACGUGCUACAAUGGCGGUGACANUGGGANGCGAAGGGGUGACCCCGAGCCAAUCUCCAAAANCCGUCUCAGUUCGGAUUGCACUCUGCAACUGGAGUGCAUGAAGUCGGAAUCGUUAGUAAUCGUGGAUCAGCAUGCCACGGUCAAUACGUUNCCCGGUGCCUUGUACACACCGCCNGUCACACCAUGGCAGUUGAGUUNUUACCGGGACGGCGCUGC